rnacentral:tRNA from 1 species
AAGAUACUAGUAAAAAAAUUACAUUGCCUUGUCGAGGCAAAUUUGUGGGUUAAACUCCCACGUAUCUUA